AGGGAUCAUUACACAAUACAAUAUGAAGGCUGUCCGCAGCUGGAGUAUUUUAUUACCCUUGUCUUUUGCGCACUUGUUGUUUCCUGGGCGGGUUCGCUCGCCACCAGGACCACCAAAUAAACCUUUUUUAUGCAGUUGCAAUCAGCGUCAGUACAAACAAUGUAAAUCAUUUACAACUUUCAACAACGGAUCUCUUGGUUCUG
rnacentral:misc_RNA from 1 species